CUUUACCUUAUUUUGCUUUGUCCAGGUUUAUCCCAUGCUUAAAUAAAAUGCUGAUCCAUGUAAAGUUUGGUGAAGUUGGAGGAAGUCGAAGGGCCGUUUGACUUUAAUCAGUUUCAUGAGAAAGUCAUUGAACAAUUUUGCCUGCCACCUGAUACCAAAGUUACAUACAAAGAUACAACAGAUACUGAAGUUGACGAAGAAAUAUUCAGUGACCUCCUUAGACAAGGCAAUGUGGUACAGACAGUUUUCUGCUAUGAUGAGUUCUCAGAAUGGUCGUCUGCUUCUGACUCAAGCUUCAACUCAAAUGCAUCAACAUCAACAAUACUAAUGGAUGAGAUGCCACGCAAGAAGCAAAGAACUGAGAAUCCUGAGUGUCUGCUAAAAAUCUGGUUGAAGGUGUCCUACAAAGCAAGUCUGGUGGUGAAGAAAUUCUGCAGGAGGAUGAAACUACAGAAACCCUAACUGAU